rnacentral:rRNA from 1 species
GAACCAGCGGACGGAUCCUUA